rnacentral:rRNA from 1 species
UGAGUAGGGCGGGACACGUGGUAUCCUGUCUGAAUAUGGGGGGACCAUCCUCCAAGGCUAAAUACUCCUGACUGACCGAUAGUGAACCAGUACCGUGAGGGAAAGGCGAAAAGAACCCCGGGAGGGGAGUGAAAAAGAACCUGAAACCGUGUACGUACAAGCAGUGGGAGCCCCACCACCAAAGCAUUCUCUGGUGUUGAAGGCCCUGCAAAGCAGCAUCGCGGUGGCGGAGCGUCGUUUGCGACGCCCAACACACAAAACAAGCGGUGAAUGCUUUGGGGUGGGGUGACUGCGUACCUUUUGUAUAAUGGGUCAGCGACUUAUAUUCUGUAGCAAGGUUAACCGAAUAGGGGAGCCGGAGGGAAACCGAGUCUUAAUUGGGCGUUAAGUUGCAGGGUA